GACGAGGGGUCCUAGCGUUGUUCGGAAUAAUUGGGCGUAAAGCGCAUGUAGGCGGCUAUUCAAGUCAGUUGUGAAAGCCCCGGGCUCAACCCGGGAAGUGCUUCUGAUACAGUUUAGCUUGAGUACUAGAGAGGAUAGUAGAAUUCCAGGUGUAGUGGUGAAAUACGUAGAUAUCUGGAGGAAUACCGGUGGCGAAGGCGGCUAUCUGGCUAUGUACUGACGCUGAGAUGCGAAAGCGUGGGGAGCAAACAGG
rnacentral:rRNA from 1 species